ensembl:lncRNA
GAUAAUUUAUUGCACCAGAAAGGAAGGCCUUUGUGGGUGGGGCUGUGGCUUCUGACCGGGACUGAUGCCUUUUAUCCAGCUGGGCUCUCUGGAGGCUCCUCAAGUUUCCUUCCUGCCAACACGAGAGGGGUCAGGGCCUGGUGGCCUCCCGAGGUGGGCAGGGUCCUUGCCAAUGCCCUGUCCCCAGCAUGGCCUGCCUGCUGUACACUGGCUGAGUCCAGGGAAGGCCACACCCAGGGAAGCGGGUGCCCUGCCCUGUAGGGGCACAUAGGGUCUGCCCCCGGCCUGCACAAGCCCUUAGUGUCUGUGCAGGCACCAUCCCCCUCUGAGGCCAGUCUCCCACUGGGGAGGGACAGUCAAGCUCUGGUGAGGCUGGGCACUCCCACCCCUCAGCCCAAGGCUCUGCCUCCUUGCCCACCUGCCCGGCUGGCUCCUGCUCAGUACUGGGGGACCUGCCGGCUGUCCGGUGUGGCCCGGAUGCUCGUCACGGUCAGCGCUGUGCUGUAGAAGAGGCUCAGCAGGAAGAGGGCCACGCAGCGUGCACGUGAGGCUGGCGUUGGAGCUCAGGAGCAGAUCCUCGAGGGCUGGAGGCUGCAGGGACAGGCUGGGCUCGCAGUUCAAUGGGAGACACUCCUCAGGACAACCUGAAAGAGAGGCAGGGCACGUCCACGGUCUUGCUGGCUUUGGAGAGGUGCUGCACUUGGCAGGUCACGAACUUGUUUUCUGGGCACAGGCUGGCUGGCAAGGUCAGCUGGCUGCUCAUGGUGUACAGGCUCCCGGCCAGCACGGCGGGGAAGUUCCUGACGGACACAUUGUCACCACUCUGGUUCCAGGUCACGCUCAGAGGUGCUGAUGGGAAGAAGCCCUGGACCAGGCAGCCGAUGACCACCUGCCCGGCUGGGUCGUCCUUCCCAAGGCUCAGUGGGAAGAUGCUGGGGCUGGCUUCACUC